AUAACAUUCGGACCGUCGGUCUACCGAGCAAAUAUCAUCGGCUCGGUGGAAGAUCUUUCUUCUUCUU
rnacentral:pre_miRNA from 1 species